UCUUUCUCUUCCGCCCUCUAAGGGGGUUUCAACAUAAAUCAGAUCUGUCCCCUUAAUUUUCUGAGAAUCUGGUGUGUAAGGAAGUAUUUGAGUUUAUAGUUCAUUUAUUUGAAGGUUAAAUUCGUUGAGGUAAAAUGCUAGGGCCUGGCGCGAUGCAUGGAGGUCAAGGUCAGUUAACAGGUAUUUAUGUUGGCUCAAUUAUGGGAGACCUGGUUCAUGUAUUCAACAAGAAGCAUGGGCAUGGAGAAAUUUUUGAGGGCGUCUUAUUCAAAUCUAAAGAAAAAGUGGUGGUAAUCAAACUUGGAGUACAGGAUGUUUACAAGCGUCUUCACUAUAUCUUCGGCAGUAAUAUUUUGAAUUACAUUGGACGCAUCAGUCCUUCUGGUCUCAAUGACAACCAUGUGGUAUUAGUUAGCGAAACUUAUACUUGCAAUCUGCUAGAAUGGAAUUCCUACUGCGAUGGUGGGCAACAGGCUGUAUUGAAUGCAGGGUUACCAAAGUCAGAAGAGGCUUUAGCACUGGAUUUGGUGAAUCAGCGAUUCCAGAGUAAGGGAAGAAGCACCGAUUUUGGUUCUAAGCUUAUAACAGAGGUGACCUCUGGCCUAGAAACCUAUAUAAAGGAACAUUUGGAGGUAUCAGAUGACCCACAGACACAGAAAAGGUUGAAGGUAUCAGAUCUCAGUCCUGUAAACAUUGUCAUGAAAUAUUUUCACCCAAGUCUUUUCACAUUCAAAUUAAUGGUAACAAAGAUCAAUUCUAGUACCACCAAUGCUGAUGUUCGAGAAGGUUAUAUAAGCUUCAUAAGAUAUGUUUUGCUUGAUGGAGAUCAAGAAAAUAUAAAUCCUGUGCUUGAUGAUUUGUUUAGAGCUCUCCGGGGACAACCUCGUACUCCUCCUUAACAGAAUAUGUAUGAUGAUACCCGUUACACAAUCCAAUAAUGUAGCUCAAAUCAUGAAAAUAUUGGAGACCUUUUUUUCACUCCAUUUGUAUGGGUGUUUUACCGAUGUUGGGUAGCUAUCAAAUGAUUCUCUCAGUUUAUUAGAUAAGAUAAAAAAUCAUUUGAUAGCUACCCAACAUCGCUAAAGCACCCAUACAAAUGAAGUGAAAAAAAGGUCUCCAGUAUUUUCAUGAUUUGAGUUACAUGGAUUGUGUGGCGGGUAUCAUCCUACAUAUUCUGGUAACAAAGCAGUGAAAAAUUUUCUGGCUGAGAUGGAUCAAAUUGAUGUCACUAGGGAUUCUCCAUUUGCUACAUGGAGUGAUGUCUUAGCCACUAAAUCUCCAGCAGUAGCGGCAUUAGCAUCCACACCUCCUCCUGGAGUCGCAUCCACACCACCUCCUGGAGUCGCAUCCACACCUACUGGAGUCGCUUAUGAUCUUAAACGUCCAGCGCAUCUAAUUCGUUUCGAGAGGAACCAACAGGAGCAUUUUAAUAAACUCGUUCAGGAUGCUCAGGGGCACUUGGGGAAAAGCAUUGAAGAUUUCUUUUGCUUCUUUGACGAUCUCUUCCCGCAUUUGUUGAUCCAGACCUAUCGAGUUUUCCAGAUUCAUUAUUUUCGAAUACGAUCAGCAUUCCCAGAUGACCCCACUGUUCAAGGUGCUGCAGAGUAUUUUAAAUAGUAGUCCUCGAAGAAAUCUGAUAGUUUGGUUUUCCUACAUAUGAUUGGCUUAUAUUCUGGUUGGCUCGGAUUUUGGUAGCGAUUACUUUCUUGUCUUUUCAUUUCGAACUUUUAUUGUCAGAAUGGGUCAAAUGGUAUGCGUACAACUUCUGCGUGUUUUGUAAUUGAACCCUUUAUUAGGUUUAUAUUGAGGUGCUCGUAGAUUCGUUUCUGAUUCGGAUAGAUGGGUUGUUGUUUCUUUAGUAGAAGCAAUGAGCUUCUAGGGAAUCGAUUUCAAUUCAGUAAUAACCAUAGCCUACUCGCCAUCAAUGCCUCACUGUAAUCUUAUCUUCUUUCUGCUGAAAUACAAACUUGCAUCAAUCAAUUAA